rnacentral:rRNA from 1 species
UACGUAGGGUGCAAGCGUUAUUCGGAAUUACUGGGCGUAAAGCGUGCGCAGGCGGUGAUGUAAGACAGGUGUGAAAUCCCCGGGCUUAACCUGGGAACUGCAUUUGUGACUGCAUCGCUGGAGUGCGGCAGAGGGGGAUGGAAUUCCGCGUGUAGCAGUGAAAUGCGUAGAUAUGCGGAGGAACACCGAUGGCGAAGGCAAUCCCCUGGGCCUGCACUGACGCUCAUACACGAAAGCGUGGGGAGCAAACAGG